rnacentral:rRNA from 1 species
UGGGGAAUAUUGCACAAUGGGCGCAAGCCUGAUGCAGCCAUGCCGCGUGUGUGAAGAAGGCCUUCGGGUUGUAAAGCACUUUCAGCGAGGAGGAAGGUGGUGAGCUUAAUACGCUCAUCAAUUGACGUUACUCGCAGAAGAAGCACCGGCUAACUCCGUGCCAGCAGCCGCGGUAAUACGGAGGGUGCAAGCGUUAAUCGGAAUUACUGGGCGUAAAGCGCACGCAGGCGGUUUGUUAAGUCAGAUGUGAAAUCCCCGGGCUCAACCUGGGAACUGCAUUUGAAACUGGCAAGCUAGAGUCUCGUAGAGGGGGGUAGAAUUCCAGGUGUAGCGGUGAAAUGCGUAGAGAUCUGGAGGAAUACCGGUGGCGAAGGCGGCCCCCUGGACGAAGACUGACGCUCAGGUGCGAAAGCGUGGGGCAGCAAACAGGAUUAGAUACCCUGGUAGUCCACGCUGUAAACGAUGUCGAUUUUGGAGGUUGUGCCCUUGAGGCGUGGCUUCCGGAGCUAACGCGUUAAAUCGACCGCCUA